rnacentral:rRNA from 1 species
AGUGAAUAGAUACCCUGGUAGUCCCAGCUGUAAACGAUGCGCGUUAGGUGUAUCGGUGACCACGAGUCACCGAGGUGCCGAAGAGAAAUCGUGAAACGUGCCGCCUGGGAAGUACGGUCGCAAGGCUGAAACUUAAAGGAAUUGGCGGGGGAGCACCACAACAGGUGGAGCCUGCGGUUUAAUCGGACUCAACGCCGGGAAGCUCACCGGAUAAGACAGCUGAAUGAUAGCCGGGUUGAAGACUCUGCUUGACUAGCUGAGAGGAGGUGCAUGGCCGUCGUCAGUUCGUACUGUGAAGCAUCCUGUUAAGUCAGGCAACGAGCGAGACCCACGCCAACAGUUGCCAGCAUGUCCUCCGGGAUGGUGGGGACACUGUUGGGACCGCCUCUGCUAAAGAGGAGGAAGGAAUGGGCAACGGUAGGUCAGCAUGCCCCGAAUUAUCCGGGCUACACGCGGGCUACAAUGGUCAGGACAAUGGGUAUCAACACCGAAAGGUGAAGGCAAUCUCCUAAA